rnacentral:tRNA from 1 species
GCGCCCCUGGUCUAACGGCAAGGCACGACCCUUCCAAGGUCGAAGAUGCCAGUUCGAAUCUGGCGGGGCGCU